rnacentral:miRNA from 1 species
AGCAGCUUGCUGCCUUUAAAAGGCAGCAAAACUGCUGCCUUAAAAAGGCCGCCGAAUUUAAAAAAAAAAAAUAAAUUUUGAAGGCAAAACUGCUGCCUUUUAAAGGCAGCAGUUCGCUGCCUUAUAUUUAAGGCAGCAGCUUGCU